CCGCCAUUAGCUCAGCAGGAAGAGCGGUUAUUCUUAUUUUGGGUGACGGUGCGGGGUUCAAGUCCUCGAUGGCGGUCCA
rnacentral:tRNA from 1 species